UAUGCAAGGGCAAGCUCUCUUC
rnacentral:miRNA from 3 species